CCCUGUCUGUAUUUAAGUUGUGUCUCUGCCUUCCUCCUGUGCUGGUCCAUUAGCUCUGUUAUGGUGUUCAUGUCAUCCUGGCCUGUCUAGUCCAUUUUCCUGUUUCUUGCCUCAUCCAUGUUUCAUGCCACGCCAAAGGGGAGUCAGACCUGCCGUGGACCCUUCCUCACAGCUGUGCCCUUGCCUCUCACAGCUUCAGCCAGCCCGAGUUGAGCCAAAAAGGUCAAGUGCGACUUGUCAAGUUUAACCUGGAAUCAGACGGAGUGAAGGAGGGGGGUUCACAUCUGAGCAGCAUAUUGCUCAGCGGCUUUGUGUUUAUCAGAUCCCCAAGGUUAUAUUAUGUCUGGACAUCAAAUGAGGCCAAGACUUGAUACUGAAUAUAAUGCGCCCCUCAUCCUCCAGCCCCAGAAAGCCUCUUCUAAACCUGCCAUUAGAUAUUCAAGUCUUUGUCCGGUAUAUGCUUCUCACCCUGCUGUGAUAAAUCAAAGGCAGUCUUGGAUACUAGAAAGGUUAGAAAAACAGUGGAACAAAUUUAGAUGAAUUCAUUUUCCUUUAUAAAGCAUAGGCUGGUCAGGAACUAAUGUAAUGUGAAUGUGAAUGUGAAUUUUUCUUUUUGUAAUAAA